rnacentral:rRNA from 1 species
AUUGAACGCUGGCGGCAUGCCUUACACAUGCAAGUCGAACGGCAGCACGGGAGCAAUCCUGGUGGCGAGUGGCGAACGGGUGAGUAAUAUAUCGGAACGUGCCCAGUCGUGGGGGAUAACGUAGCGAAAGCUACGCUAAUACCGCAUACGAUCUAUGGAUGAAAGCGGGGGAUCGCAAGACCUCGCGCGAUUGGAGCGGCCGAUAUCAGAUUAGGUAGUUGGUGAGGUAAAGGCUCACCAAGCCGACGAUCUGUAGCUGGUCUGAGAGGACGACCAGCCACACUGGGACUGAGACACGGCCCAGACUCCUACGGGAGGCAGCAGUGGGGAAUUUUGGACAAUGGGCGCAAGCCUGAUCCAGCAAUGCCGCGUGCAGGAUGAAGGCCUUCGGGUUGUAAACUGCUUUUGUACGGAACGAAACGGUGAGCUCUAAUACUGUUUGCUAAUGACGGUACCGUAAGAAUAAGCACCGGCUAACUACGUG